GACGAACGCUGGCGGCGUGCUUAACACAUGCAAGUCGAACGAAGUGGCGAACGGGUGAGUAACGCGUAAUCAACCUGCCCUUCAGAGGGGGACAACAGUUGGAAACGACUGCUAAUCCCGCAUACUGAAGGAGGGGAUUGCGUCGGAUUAGCUAGCUGGAGGGGUAACGGCCCACCAAGGCGAUGAUCAGUAGCCGGGCUGAGGGGGGGAACGGCCCAAGUUGUACUGGGACACCGCCCAGACUCCUACGGGGGGGAGCAGUGGGGAAACUUCCGCAAUGGACGAAAGUCUGACGGAGCAACUCCGCGUGGGUGAUGACGGCCUUCGGGUUGUAAAGCUCUGUUAAUCGGGACGCGGUACCGGAAUAGAAAGCCACGGCUAACUACGUGCCAGCAGCCGCGGUAAUAC
rnacentral:rRNA from 1 species